AUGGCUACAAUUGCUGCUUGAAGUUAUGGCUCAUAACAAGCAGGAUGCCUCAUGAGAAAACGAUCAAAGUUCCUGCUUUGCAGCCAGGAACUAAACCAAGACCCACACAGCUUUCCUGACUGUAUGGAAAUAUCUCCAUGUCACAAUAGGUCAUUAGAAGACCUGGUUUGGAACGGAGGCCUAGUGGGCAGAGUGGGUGAGGAAGCACUGGAUGCAGAACCACUGGACAAUAAGAAAUAUGUUUCCAUUGGAUUUAACAACAAGGGGCUACUGAUGACCUUGACCUUAAUAGUUUCAUGGGAUUGCAGGUGCAAAUACCAGAAUAGAAUGAAAGGGUAGUUGAGGGUAAAAGGAGGAGUUAGGCACACUGAGUGUAGAUAUCUUUCUCAAGAAAUAGAGACUAUGCUUCUGCAGAGAGUCAGGUACAGGGAAGACUGAAGACGCUUUGGCAUGCCUAUAUACAAAUGGAAGGGUCCGGUAUAGAGGGAGUGGUGGAAAGGUUCAGAAGGUGGGCUGAAGUGGCAUAGAGUGAGGUGUGACAUAGCAAGGUCCUGAGAAGAGGCCUGUGGUGCUUUGGACUAAAGGAACUUGGAAAUGGAGUCUUUUAUUAAGAAUAAUACAGAGUAACACAGGUUGCAAACCACCCUCCCCCUUUACAGGAAAUUGCCAAAAUGUUGGAUACCAUGGAGACUGGGGUAAAUUGAGAUUUAGGCACAGAGAUCUGUGAGGAAUGAGAGCUCUGAGUGAACAUGGGGUGGUGGGUGAAAACCAGAAGAAGAGGAAAUGAAAGAUCAGAACUUGUAGCACUUAAGGCCAACCCAGAUGGAAUAGCUAAGGGCAGCAGAGGCCUGUGGCAGGAAGAACCUCCAUAUAUUCAUGAGUACAUAAAGCAAACUCCCGGGUUUCAAAGACAAGUUUUGUUGCUGGUGAGGAUGGAGGAAGGGGUUCUUAAGGGACUAGAUUUUCUUUGUGAACAAGUGGGACUUGGAACUAGUAAGAUUUGUAUAUUAAUGCUAGUGUGACAUUCAAGCUUUUGAUCAUGCUUGGGGUGCAUUUGAAGUACGUUUACUUAUAUACCUGUCUCCCUCUAUUAGACCGUAUGGUCCUGAAUGCAGAGACUAUAUCUUACUUGACGUGGUUGGUAAUACCUGUUGACUGAAAGACUGGUGUGAAGGAUGUUAGCAAAUACUUCUCAUUAGGUUUGUCAAGCCUUGAAGCAAUUAAUAUAAAAGACAAUGUGAAAAUCUGCAAAUAAACCUUAGCACUUGGAAUUAAGUCUUUGAAAGCUUUGUUUAGACUUUUGAAUAAAAGCUUAUUCUUAAAAUGUUUCUAGGAUCACAUUUUCAAUGUAAUAACGUCUGUUUUGUUAGCAUUAAAAUAAGAGAAUUUUCUUACACUGCCCUUUUAUUACUCUUAGGCCUUACCUGUAUGACCCUACUGGAUAUGAAUGAGAAAGAACAUAUUGAAAUUGAGAAAAGAAGAUUUACAUGAUGAAAUCAACUCUAAGGAAAGAAGUAGUCAGGAAACCUGUUGAAAGAAAAUGAAAGCAAUGUAUUUCAGCAAUUACUUAAAUCCUGCAAGAAGAUCAUGUUUGAUGGUCUUCCUAGUAUGCUCCUGCUGAGGUUCCUGGAGUAAAAGUCCAUAGUGUGAGUCUCCACACACUGUUCUUUCUGUCCGAGUGGAAGCUGCACAUCCGCCUUGUCCCCUGGCAGCUUCCAAUAAAAAUAUUUUUGAAUGAAAAGGUUGCUUCCCUUUCCUGUAUCAUUCUCCCAAUAAUACUAAGGCAGCGUGUAGAGCUGAAUGAAAACACUGGGCUCAGUAUCUAGGAAACCAGAAAUUUAGCCCUACUGCUGUCACCAUGAACUGUGAACCUCUGCGCCCUUGAGUAAGUCACUUUCUUUCACUCUACUUCAUUGUUCAAAUCAGUAAUGUGAGAGACUAGAUGAGAGUUCUUUAAGAUCUUGUGUCAAACUAGGAAACUAAUUUUGAUUCUGUUAUCCUAAAAAUCUAUUUUUAGAUACUAUUGUGGCAUUUUGGACUUCUAAGUGAUCUAUAUAAAGUACAUGUUGGAAGUCCCUGGAGUCCCCUGAAAUUAUGCUGGGAAUGACAGCUCGGUAAGAGAGCAGUAGACAGACCUUUUAGUCUGGGUCACCUUGAGGUUUCAGUGUGUUGACAAGUAUGCAGAAUGGCCACAUUUUAAGGGCUGUUUUCCAAUAUGGUA